GGGCGCCCGAUGUGAAGGACGAGCCCGCGCGCAGGUGCUCCGCAGCGGCACAUCAACGGUCGCCACAGUUUGUGGGUGGAGCCCCAGUAGGCGGAGCCACCAUUAUGUCCCUAGCACUGGUCAGAAGUGAGAACCGGCAGCCGAGUUGUGCAAUGGUUGGAGUUUUACUCAAUUUGGUUCUUGUUGUGG